CCUACGGGAGGCAGCAGUGGGGAAUAUUGCACAAUGGGGGAAACCCUGAUGCAGCGACGCCGCGUGAGUGAAGAAGUAUCUCGGUAUGUAAAGCUCUAUCAGUAGGGAAGAAAAUGACGGUACCUGAUCCAGAAGCCCCGGCUAACUACGUGCCAGCAGCCGCGGUAAUACGUAGGGGGCAAGCGUUAUCCGGAUUUACUGGGUGUAAAGGGAGCGUAGACGGCAGCACAAGUCUGGUGUGAAAUUCCGGGGCUUAACCCCGGAACUGCUUUGGAAACUGUGAAGCUAGAGUGCAGGUGAGGUAAGUGGAAUUCGUGGUGUAGCGGUGAAAUGCGUAGAUAUUAGGAGGAACACCAGUGGCGAAGGCGGCUUACUGGACUGUAACUGACGUUGAGGCUCGAAAGCGUGGGGAGCAAACAGGAUUAGAUACCCCAGUAGUC
rnacentral:rRNA from 1 species